UCGCACGAGAAAGGGUAGCAAUACCUGAGUACAGUGGCGCACGGGUGAGUAACACGUGAAUAAUCUACCUCCGAGUGGGGAAUAACUUAGGGAAACCUGAGCUAAUACCGCAUAACACUUACGAGUCAAAGCAGCAAUGCGCUUGGAGAGGAGUUCGCGGCAGAUUAGUUAGUUGGCGGGGUAAUGGCCCACCAAGACGAUGAUCUGUAUCCGGCCUGAGAGGGCGCACGGACACACUGGAACUGAAACACGGUCCAGACUCCUACGGGAGGCAGCAGUGGGGAAUUUUGCGCAAUGGGGGAAACCCUGACGCAGCAACGCCGCGUGGAGGAUGAAAUCCCUUGGGAUGUAAACUCCUUUCGAUCGGGACGAUUAUGACGGUACCGGAAGAAGAAGCCCCGGCUAACUUCGUGCCAGCAGCCGCGGUAAUACGAGGGGGGCGAGCGUUGUUCGGAAUUAUUGGGCGUAAAGGGUGCGUAGGCGGUUUGAUAAGUCUGAUGUGAAAUCUAUGGGCUCAACCCAUAGUCUGCAUUAGAAACUGUCGGGCUUGAGUAUGGGAGAGGUGAGUGGAAUUUCCGGUGUAGCGGUGAAAUGCGUAGAUAUCGGAAGGAACACCUGUGGCGAAAGCGGCUCACUGGACCAUUACUGACGCUGAUGCACG
rnacentral:rRNA from 1 species